AGAUUGAACGCUGGCGGCAUGCCUAACACAUGCAAGUCGAACGGGAGUAGCAAUACUCUAGUGGCGGACGGGUGAGGAAUACGUAGGAAUUUGCCCUUAAGUGGGGGAUAACCCGGGGAAACCCGGAUUAAUACCGCAUGACCUCGAAAGAGCAAAGUGGGGGAUCGCAAGACCUCACGCUUUUGGAGAAGCCUACGUCGGAUUAGCUAGUUGGUGAGGUAAUGGCUCACCAAGGCGACGAUCCGUAACUGGUCUGAGAGGAUGAUCAGUCACACCGGAACUGAGACACGGUCCGGACUCCUACGGGAGGCAGCAGUGGGGAAUAUUGGACAAUGGGCGGCAAGCCUGAUCCAGCAAUGCCGCGUGUGUGAAGAAGGCCUUCGGUUGUAAAGCACUUUAACGUUGGGAAGAAAAAAACUACGACUCGUUAACAACCAAGUAGAGUCUUGACGGUACCCGAACUACGAAUAAAGACAACCGGCCUAACUACUGUGCCAGCAGCCGC
rnacentral:rRNA from 1 species